rnacentral:rRNA from 1 species
UACGAAGGGGGCUAGCGUUGUUCGGAAGCACUGGGCGUAAAGCGCGCGUAGGCGGGUCGUUAAGUCAGGGGUGAAAUCCCGAGGCUCAACCUCGGAACUGCCUUUGAUACUGGCGACCUGGAGUCCGGGAGAGGUGAGUGGAACUCCUAGUGUAGAGGUGAAAUUCGUAGAUAUUAGGAAGAACACCAGUGGCGAAGGCGGCUCACUGGCCCGGUACUGACGCUGAUGCGCGAAAGCGUGGGGAGCAAACAGG